GCCACCCUAGCUCAACGGCAGAGCAACCGCUUUGUAAGCGGUAGGUUGUCGGUUCAAGUCCGACGGGUGGCU
rnacentral:tRNA from 1 species